AACGAACGUUGGCGGCGUGGAUUAGGCAUGCAAGUCAUACGGGAUCCGGGGUAACUCGGGUCUAGUGGCGAACGGGUGAGUAUCGCGUGGGAAACCUGCCCUUGAGACGGGGAUAACACCUCCAACGGGGUGCUAAUACCGGAUAAGACCACGGAGUCGCAUGGCUCUGCGGUCAAAGGUGGCCUCUACUUGUAAGCUACCACUUAAGGAUGGUCCCGCGUCCCAUUAGCUAGUUGGUAGGGUAAUGGCCUACCAAGGCUACGAUGGGUAGCUGGUCUGAGAGGAUGGUCAGCCACACUGGGACUGAGAUACGGCCCAGACUCCUACGGGAGGCAGCAGUCGAGAGGCUUCGGCAAUGGGGGAAACCCUGACCGAGCGACGCCGCGUGGGCGAUGAAGGCCGUUAGGUUGUAAAGCCCUGUCGAGCGGGAAAAAUUGCAGGCGGGUGAACAAUCCGCUUGUUUGAUGGUACCGUUAAAGGAAGCUCCGGCCAACUCCGUGCCAGCAGCCGCGGUAAUACGGGGGGAGCGAACGUUGUUCGGAAUUACUGGGCGUAAAGGGCGUGCAGGCGGUCCUGUAAGAGAGUUGUGAAAUGCCCUGGCUCAACCAGGGAAAUGCACCUCUGACUGCAGGACUUGAGUAUGGGAGAGG
rnacentral:rRNA from 1 species